rnacentral:lncRNA from 1 species
GCUCAGGCUGCCGUAACAAAGUGCCACAGACUGGGUGGAUUAAACAACAGAAAUUUAUUUUCUGACAGUUUUGGAGACUGGAAGUCCAAGAACAAGGUGUCAGAAGGCCUCUCUCCUUGACUUGCAGAUGAUCAGUUUCUCACCGUGUCUUCACAUGGUCUAUGCUCCAUGAGAGCAAGGACUUUGUCUGUCUUGCCUGCUGCAUUCUUCCUGGUUCCUGGAUAAGGGAUAGGAUCUCAACAAAUAUCCCAUGAAGGAAGGAUGGCUAGAUGGAUAACUGGCUGGAUGGAUAGUCAUUUGCUGCACUCCCUGGAAGAGAUCACCGUGGCUGCCCUGCUUGGCUUGGCUGUGAUUGGUGUGGCCUCAGGAUAUAAGCAGUAGUGAUGUAUGCAACACGGGAGCAGGAGUCUUGGAGCCAACCCUGUCACUCCCCUCUGCCAUGCGACAGGAGCAGCACAGCCCAGAUGAGAGCUGCAUCCUCAGCCUGGAUCUCAGAAUAAAAAGCCCAUGGAGCAGAGCCACAGUUGGCCCACAGGGACCUACAGAGUGAGCCAAACACACUCGCAGUGUUGUAAGUCUCUGAGAUACUGGUGUUGCAGCACAACUGAACAAAAUCUCAUGGGAGAAGUCUCUUCUUUAUCAUCAUCCCAACUGAACUCUCUUCAGUUUUGACCUAGGCAUCCACCUGCCUAAUUUUUAAACCCUUUUAGGCAUCAUUCAAACUAACGUGCAUUUGCCAUAGACUCUGUAUAUGACCCAGUCCAGAACUUGGGGUUGAAAAGCACAAGGAAUAUAAUAAUAGCUAGUGAUCCUGAGAGCCUGCUCUGGGCCAGCUGCUGCAACAGGCACUUGUGCAGAUAGAGUGUCAGUUGUCCUCGUGUUACCCGAAGGAGGCAGGCAUUACAACUCUCCCCAAUUCAUUGAUGAGGAAAUUGAUGUGCCAAGGUGUUUAAUAACAAGACUAAGGUAAUACUUGAUCUAGCAAGAGGCAUUUGGAGGAACUGUACCCAAGCACGCUGACUCCUGUAUCCUAUAAGUCACACCGUUUUCAUCCAGUGAGCUUGCAGACGUGCAGUGAGAAAAUGUUCUUCCAUCAUGCCACCACUGUUUGGGGGGCAUAGAGCACAUGCCAGCCUCUGUGCCAGGACUGGGCGAAAGUAAGCCAGACAGACACAAAUCCUACAAUUCUUACCCUGAGGGAGACGAAAAGAGAGGAAGAAAAUAUUUUCCUCCACUGGUUUUUGUUUUUUAUAGUUUCAGGGGGCACAUGUACAGGUUACAUGGAUAUAUUGUGUAAUGGUGAGGUUGGGCUUCUGGUGAACCCAUCACCCGAAUAGUAAACAUUGCAUCUAAUAGGUAAUUUUUCAACCCUCACCCUCCUCCCACCCUUCUGGAUUUUGGAGUCACCAGUGUCUAUUAUUUCCCUCUUUAUGUCCAUGAGUAACCAUUGUUUAGCUCCCACUUAUAAGUGAGAACACACGGUAUUUGAUUUUCUGUUUCUGAGUCAUUUCACUUAGGAUAAUGGCCUCCAGCUCCAUCCAUGUUGCUGCAGAAGAUGUGAUUUCAUUCUUUUUUAUGGCUGUGGGGGGAAAACAUUUUUAACUAAUUACAUCUUAUUUAUAAGAAAUAUCUAGAAUAGGCAAAUCAUAGAGACAGAAAGAUGAGUGUUUCCCGGGGUAUGGAGGAUGGGGAGUGACCGUUUAAAGUGUAUGGGGUUUCCUUUUGAGAUGAUGAAAAUUUCUGGAACUAGAUAGCAGUGAUGGUUGAGCAACACUGUGAAUGUACCGAACGUCACAAAUAGCAAAUUUUAUGCACGUUUCAGCACAAUGAAAAUAAAAC